GUGAGUGUGUGUCUGUCUGUCAGUGAGUGUGUGUCUGUCAGUGAGUGUUUGUGUGUCUGUCAGGGAGUGGGUUUGUGUCUGUCUGUCAGUGAGUGUGUGUCUGUGUGUGUGUGUCUGUGUCUGUCAGUGAGUGUGUGUGUGUGUGUGUCUAUCAGUGUGUGUCUGAGUAUAUGUGUGUGUCUGUCAGUGAGUGUGUGUCUGAGUAUAUGUGUGUGUCUGUCAGUGAGUGGGUG